GGGUUGUGAGGUUAAGCGACUAAGCGUACACGGUGGAUGCCCUGGCAGUCAGAGGCGAUGAAGGACGUGCUAAUCUGCGAUAAGCGCCGGUAAGGUGAUAUGAACCGUUAUAACCGGCGAUUUCCGAAUGGGGAAACCCAGUGUGACUCGUCACACUAUCAUUAACUGAAUCCAUAGGUUAAUGAGGCGAACCGGGGGAACUGAAACAUCUAAGUACCCCGAGGAAAAGAAAUCAACCGAGAUUCCCCCAGUAGCGGCGAGCGAACGGGGAGGAGCCCAGAGCCUGAAUCAGCAUGUGUGUUAGUGGAAGCGUCUGGAAAGGCGCGCGAUACAGGGUGACAGCCCCGUACACAAAAGCGCAUGUGUUGUGAGCUCGAUGAGUAGGGCGGGACACGUGGUAUCCUGUCUGAAUAUGGGGGGACCAUCCUCCAAGGCUAAAUACUCCUGACUGACCGAUAGUGAACCAGUACCGUGAGGGAAAGGCGAAAAGAACCCCGGCGAGGGGAGUGAAAAAGAACCUGAAACCGUGUACGUACAAGCAGUGGGAGCCCCACCACUAAGCCAGUGGUGAACUCCACAUACGCAUCCUUUGCUGAAGGUGCGGUUAACGGAGCGCAAGCGACGUUCAACCUCAAAAGAAGCAGAGGGGGCUUAGUGGUGGGGUGACUGCGUACCUUUUGUAUAAUGGGUCAGCGACUUAUAUUCUGUAGCAAGGUUAACCGCAUAGGGGAGCCGGAGGGAAACCGAGUCUUAAUUGGGCGUUAAGUUGCAGGGUAUAGACCCGAAACCCGGUGAUCUAGCCAUGGGCAGGUUGAAGGUUGGGUAACACUAACUGGAGGACCGAACCGACUAAUGUUGAAAAAUUAGCGGAUGACCUGUGGCUGGGGGUGAAAGGCCAAUCAAACCGGGAGAUAGCUGGUUCUCCCCGAAAGCUAUUUAGGUAGCGCCUCGUGAA
rnacentral:rRNA from 1 species